rnacentral:rRNA from 1 species
UACGGAGGAUGCAAGCGUUAUCCGGAAUGAUUGGGCGUAAAGCGUCCGCAGGUGGCUGUGUAAGUCUGCUGUUAAAGAGUGAGGCUCAACCUCAUAAAAGCAGUGGAAACUACACAGCUAGAGUGCGUUCGGGGCAGAGGGAAUUCCUGGUGUAGCGGUGAAAUGCGUGGAGAUCAGGAAGAACACCGGUGGCGAAGGCGCUCUGCUAGGCCGCAACUGACACUGAGGGACGAAAGCUAGGGGAGCGAAUAGG